rnacentral:rRNA from 1 species
UGUAAGCCAGGUUGGUUUCUAUCUUUAAUAAAUAAAAAUAUUUUAGUACGAAAGGAAUAAAUAUUUUUUAAAAAAUUAUUUUAAAAGUGAAUAAUAUUAAUUUAAUUUAACUAUUUUGGCAGAUAAGUGUAGUAAAUUUAGAAUUUAUAUAUGUGAUAUAAAUUCACAAAUAGUAUUGUAUUAUAUUGAAUUUUUGUUAUUUAUUAUUAGUAGAUUAUUAUUAGUAA